UCCGAACCGGGGCCCUCUGGCAUCCCAAGCGAGUUCUUAACCAUCGCGCCACUCGGCCAGCCCAGAAGGUAGUUUCUGAGACCCAUGGUCGACCCCCAGUCUGAGGGGGGAGUUUACAGCUUUUAAGCUUGGGGAGCCCCCAGUCUGAUAGAAGCCUGCUCAUCACAACCUUUGACUAUCUAAAGCUAUACAUGUGAAUUCUCAUGACUGAGUGCCGACAACCUUCACACCUGAGGGAAAGGGCCGCGUGGCUUGUAAAGAAGGAGAGGCCACAGGGCAGGGGGCUGGGAGCUCUGGCAGGGCAGGCACAAAGCUCGGAAGGCCUUUGCAUUGUUUAGGUUGAAUGGGGACAGUUUUCUUUUAGAGUCCCAGCAUCGCCCGGGGCUGCCAUUUCUCGCCUCUCUGAAGCCCCGUUGGUCAGCAGUUGAAGAGGUGGUUGGCUGUGGUUGCUGAGUGGGGAGAAAGCCAGCUCUGUGGUGGCUCCCAGCUCCUGGAACUACUUCUCCAGGAAGCUUCCCGAGGUUCAUCCCACCCAUUGCUUCCAUUUUCCCGGCUGCUUUCCCUUUCCAAGGCCUUAGGAAAGAUGGUACUAGUGACAGCCUGUUAAUGACACAUUCUGUUAGUCUUGUCUCCUCUUUCAAGUUAUAACUGCUCUUGAGAGGGUAGUCCCUGUUAGUACUUUCUUCUGCACCCUAAGCUUUGCAAAGAGUUUAGAGCCCCCUGGGACUUCAUCAGGACGUGUGGACUCUUGAGGCAGCCCACUUUCAGGUUCUCGUUUGCGUGGAGGAGGACCACAGCUGAAUGAUUCCAGGACUCCUGAAUGGCUUGUAGAUGCACGCAGGGUCAGCUGUGCUCCCAGGGGCCACGCCUGCCUGGCCCGGGUUUCCCGUGUGGACAGACUGGUUUAUGGGCUGCUGUCACAUACGUUUCUUGUUUGUUCCUCUCGAUAGUCCUGUGUGCUCAGUGAUGUGUUAUCCUCAUUUCUCAAACGUGGAAGCAGCUCAGAGAGGCUAAUGGAAUGGGUCAAAUUCCCACAGCCAUUAAGUGGCCAAGGCAGGAUUCAGACCCAGUGCUUUUGAUUCUAAAUCUUGUGCUCUUCCCCUGCCCUGUGUAGCUCUUCUUUCUGGAUCAGUGUAGGCAGAAUGAAGGGGCAGUGCCCUGUCAGGCUCAGGGUCACACCCUCUGGGAGAUGGGGAACAGAGCUUGCUCUCAUGGAUGCGCUUAGCUCCACGGGACAAUUCUGUGCACUGGAAGGCCGCAGGAGCUGGGAGGACACACUGAUGUCAUUUAAUCCACCCUGACAUUUGUAGAGGUAGAUGAAGACUCCAAGGCCCAGAGAGGCUAAAACACUUCCCAAGGCCACACAGCAGGGCCAAGACUACACCUGGAUCUCUGGCCCCCCCCCAGCUCAGUACGCCUUCCACUGUAAAUUCAGGGUAUGACUUCCUGCUUUCUCCUGACAGGAGUAGCUCCAGGUGUUGGCAGUGAGACCAGAGAGUCGUUAAAAUGACUGUCAAAGUGUUUAUUGCUGAGCAGACAUGCACAAGGACGCUGGGCCUGGCAGCAGAUUGCUGAUUUCCCCAGGCCCUGUCACAGCUGCUACGGGGCCUGAGGGCCCAGGGCCUUCCUCCUGAGCUCAUAUGCAAACGUUCAGAGCCGGGAGGAGCAGUGAGCAGCGCUUGUGGGCUCUAGUCCUGCUCCCAGACUGGCAGUGUCUCCUGAGGCCUGUAGGAGUUUUGUGCCUGGUGGUGGUUGGUGGUCCAAGAAUGUCGGUCCCUUGACCAGCCCAUCCACAAAUCCAUGGGUGGAGAACCCGUGUGGUGGUGACUGGAUCCCAAGGCAAAUGGAAUCUGGAAAUCACCGUGAUAGGAAAAAGCACAAGCAUUUUAAACCGAUAGCCUUUUAGGCUCUUUGGCCUAAAGCCUUAACCAAGCUUUCCAGACGUGGGCCGCUUUAGAUGGUGCUACCAGUGUGCCCCACCUUCACUGGGGUCACUGAAAGGAAGGUAAGUGCUCUUUCCAUUUUGGUUUCCAAUCCAGUUUGGAUACUUGAAUACUACUUUCAGGAAUCCCCUGGGGCUGCCGUGGGCUAUGAGGAUGACUUCUGUCUAACCACAGAUUGUUAAUACGGUUUACUACUGAGAACCAGAAUCGAUCCAGUCUGUCAUGACCAGGAAACGUUCCUCACACGUGCUGGUCAGCCUUUAAUUUUUGCUCAUUCUUCAAACCGUACUCCUUAUUUCAAUAGCCGAAUUGACUGAAAUUAGGUGGAUGACUUGGAGCAAACCUUCCCAUUACACAGGUGGAAAUGAUCAUGAUUUGGUGGGUGGGUCUCUAGUGACUUCUUCAUUUGGGUCCAACCGUGUGCUCAGCGACUCCCCAGGUGAGGCCCUGGGGAACCAUUGUGCACACCUGGGACAGGUUCCCAGGGCUUUCCCCUCUGGGCAAGGAGCACCAUCCAGACAAGAUCAGAUACCUCCGACUCUCCGUGUUCCCGUCCAGCUCAGGGCUGGUAAGUAUUUGUUCAUUAGCCAAAGAGAUGGUGAGAAUUUAGUCUCAUAUCCCGGGGCACAUGUAACCUAAUUCAGUUCUGGGUGGAAAGUAGCUUAAAUAAGUCAGCCGUGGCACACUGCUCUCCCUGGCACCCCCACCUUUCAUCCAAGGUCCUGAUUUCCCCACUGUCUCUGGCUUCUUAUUUUUCAGAUUCUGACUUGGAUCGUGGCUUUCCAGUGACCCUGACCUCCUGUGGUCCAGUGGUCAGCUUUGUGGAUGGGCCUGAAGCAGCCCCCUGGGAGCCGUGAGGUUUGCUAGUCUCCGGCUUCCGGGCUCGGAUUUUCUUGGGACCAUGUGGUUGGACGCAACCCUUUUUAGUGUGUGUGAGAAGGUAUGGGGAAGGGGCAGAGAGGGAGUCGACAGUCCAGUGGGCAUUUGGGAAAGAGGUCACUUUGGAUGCUUGAGUGCAAUGCUAGCCAAGCACCCAAGGGAUGAGGCGAUGCAGAGAAAAGCAGCAGCUGAAAACACCUGCUCAGAAGAGGGGGGUUCAGAGCUAGGAUUGGAAAACAGUGAAAAGGGGUUCUCCAGAUUUGGACUUUCACCAUUGUGUGUAUUGCCAUCAUGUGCACAUGUCAUGCAUAUACAUAGAUAUAUACCUGUGUGUCAUGUGUAUACAUAUGGGUAUGUGUGUACGUGUUCUGUCGCCUCUUCUCAGAAGCCCUGCCGUCCACACACUUUCAUAUCUCUCCUCACACCAACUCUUUCCCACAGAACCUGUUCCCUCUUUCCCGGGACGGUGGACAGAAUUGCGGACGUCCCUCCCGGGCCCCAGGGUCGCUCUCUGACCCUCACUUUUCAGCCAGCCCUCGGUGUCCACAGCAGCUGCUGUGUGUGGAACUGACCCAUGUCAUUUCUCCACGACCAUGCCUGUGGAUUGGCCCUGAUUAUGUCAUCCUUCUGCUAAAACUCCUGUGUCCUCGCAUCAGGAUGAAGCCCAGAUUUCUUAGUCCAAAGGGCCUUUUGUGGUUCAGUUUCUGCCCACCUCUGACUAUUCCCGGUAGAGGCAUUUUGCUCCAGACACCCCCUGACCCCCGCUGAACCAGGCUGUAUUCAGUGCCCUUUGUAUUUUUUCCUGUGUGUUCUCUGCUUCAGUGAGUGUCCCCUUUCUUUCAUUUGUCUAAUUCCUAGUUACCUUUCAAUACUCUCCCCAACAUCACGCCUCCAAGAAGCCUUCCCCAGCACCCCACUGUGACUGAGAGAGCACCUCGUCUUGUAGCACAGUGGUCUUGUCUCCCACUAGACUGAGGUCUCCUUGGAGGGGACACCUGUUCGUUGUCUUGCAUCUCAAGCAUCCGGCUCGAUGCCUGCACAGCCCACAGUGCAUGCUGGGAGAAGGGUGGAUGGAUGGAUGAAUGCACGACUCCUCGCUCCCUUCUGGAACUGUCAGUGGCCUGGAUAUUAGGUCACUUAGCCUGGGUGGGGAGGACAUUAAGUCUCUGUCCUAAUUUUUUUUUCACCUCCCUAACGAGAUUGUUUGUUCCUGGAGGGCAGGGGUGGCUUUGUAGCUCUUAGUAAACCUGGAGCCUGUGGACACACCAGGCACUGAGUCAGUGUUUAUUGGAAGAAAAGAGAAAGAAUUAAGUAGAGAACGGAGGGAGGGAGAGAAAGAAAAGGUAAGAAGGACAGAUUUGUUUCAGAACUCGUCACGUGGCUGGUUUGAGUCCAGUCAGGAUAAGGACUUUCCCUCCCUCCCCAACUUGGGGUUUUCUGAUCCAAUUCGGGCAACUCCUAUGAAAUGAUAAGGCCUGUUUGGUCCGAAAGGGGGAGAUAGUUGAGAUUACAGUUUUUGAAGUUUUUAAGUGGAUGUCCGUAUAGGUUUCUGAAUUAUUGGUGCAAUUUCAUUGUCAAGAGGAUUUGUGAUGUUAAUACCUGAUUAAAUUAUUCAUAGUAUUUAAUUGCUCCCCGGGAUUAAUUAGGACGCUUUACUCCUCAUUAUCUCUGUGGGAUCCUGUGCGGAUUGUAGAAAAGGUACAUAAAGUGCUGUGUGCUCGCCACUGGUGAAUCACAAACCCUGCUUAUUUUACUAGCUAUUUGCUAUUUCUCUCCGCUUAGGAAAAGAUUGAAGUUUGUGCUAGGUGAGGUUUUUGAGUCCUGAGUUCUUUCCUUACUGGUCUUGGAAUUUGGAGCGAGUCACUUGAUUUUACCUUAAAACAGGGCAUAAAAUAAUAACAGCUUCACAAUUAUAUGAGGGAACCAAAUUUCAACCCUGGACCAUGGAGUGAACAUUUCUAAUUGGGGGAAAAGACUAAGCAAUAGAAUCUGGGAAUAUAAACCACUCCUUUGAGCAUUUGAGAAUGAGAAGUAAAAGAAAAGAGGUACCCCUCCUCACCCCCAUCCCUCCCUUUUAGAAGCUAAUGACUUGUUCAUGUUUAUAGACUCUGGAUAGAGGUAGAAAACAUUUAUUUUACUCAGGUAAAUGUAUAUAACUGGGUAAUAAUUUGCAAAGGAAAAGAAUAAAAGACUAUUCAAAUGUUACUUUUGACCUUCAUGAAGAUCUUAAUGGGUUGAAUAUUUUCAUUCAUUUGCUAAUUCGUGUGAGUUAUCAAAAUAGAAUUUUAUUUUAAUCAUCUCUUCAUGCCACGAAUAGAAUGCAAAGGAGAUAUUUUUAUAAAAUUUGAUAUAUUUUCUAGAAAUGCUUAUAGCUAUGCUCUAAUGUGUAUUAGAACAAGUACUUCAGAUUUAUGAUAUUUAUGGAUAGUAUUGCUUAGGAUGAGGUAAAAGGAAGUAAUACAACUGCUAAAAUAAAUUUGGCGAAGUGAAAAUAGUGAAUUGAUCUAGAGAAAAGUAUUAAAUAAUAAUAUAGGUGGUAUGUGGCUAUGGGAAAAACUGCAAAGGAGGUAUGUGAAUCACAGGUUUCUGAAACCCUGGAUUGCAACGUGGGCCCUGGUAUUUCCCUUUGGAGGGUUCCAAACAUCCCCCUGGGACAUGCAGACCGUGGUGUGGGAGUCCUGCCCCAUGUUCAGUUAAGGGCAGGGGGAAGAUCAGGAGUGUGAGAGCAGGCCCCUCUCUUCCUGCUCGAGGGACGCAAAGAUUUGGGGGCUGAGCAGGGCACCUGUCUUUGGAGGCAGGCCAGAGGCAUGCUGGGAGGUAAGCAGUGUGUCCUCUGAGCCCCUAGGCCUACCGCUCGUGCUUCUAGCCUCUGCUAUUCUGCCUCCAACUCAGUAUGAAAACGACUUCUGCAUUGGGGUGAGACAGGUGACCAAUCGGUGUCAGAAGACAUCACAUCACUCGCUAGCUGUGGGACCACAUGUCCUGUCACUUAACCUUCCUGAGCCCAUGUCUGUUCGUGUAAAUUGGGUUUGAUUUGCCUGCGUUUUACGGAUGUCGUGAGGAUUAUACAAUUUUGUUAUGUGGGAAAGCUAUUGAACAAUAGCAGGUGUUGGAGUAAAGGUUGGUUGGACUCAAGGAAAGAUCGUACAAUCCAUUGAGAGUGUAGACGUCUGAUGAUAGUUUUACGUGGAUCUCCAUCAGGGGCACACAGUGUGUAACCGCUGGAAUUACAGUCGGAAGGACAAAGCGAUAUGGUAAAAGGUCAGGUGUCACUGAGGGUGGGGGAGGGGAAGUGAGCAGAGGCCUCUCCCAGGGCCAGCUCCCAGCGGGCUUGCCUUCCCCGUGGUUGGUGUUGCAUUAGGGGUCUGGCUGGCCUGUCUGUUUGUCCUCAUCUGUGCUCUUCUUGGAGCCAUUCAUUCAGUACCUAAUACUAUUAUUACCAUUUGUUGUGCCAAACACUAUGUUACAUGCUCUCCAUGUGGGACUUCAUUUAAACCUCACUGUGAGACCAGUAUCACAUAUCACAGGUGACAAUAGUGGUGUUUGAGGACCAUGAAGAAUGUGACCAGCAUCACAUGCUCAGAAGUAAUGGAGCGCAGAUGACAGGCAGGUUUGUCUGACGCCAAAGCCCAUGCUUUUAAAACUCUGCUGUCCUGCGUGAUAGACUGCUGCAUCAGUGUUAGCAUCUGCAGGUAUUUUCUGAGAGCUGCCUAGUUGUCGCACAUUGCUUUCGACAUAGACAAAACACACAAUUCCCCGUGGAACAUUCUAGCACAGCGGGACAAGGACUGGGCUUCAUGUAGACGCUGGGCAGCGCUCCACGCUGUCUGGUCUCAGCGUCCUGGUCUACACGAGGCGGGGCUGGGAUGGCUGACCUCCCAAGUUCCUUCUAGCUCUGGAAGGACUGUGAGCUUCAUGAGGGGAGGACUGGUGAUGCCCAUCUCUCAGCCUUGCAUGGAAGUGCUGGCGGCCUGAUUGGCCCAUGUCUGUGGGAUGCUCUCCCAUCAAGGCCGCUGGCAUUGGGUUGAGGGAGCAUGUGGAGAGUUCAACCCAAGACGACUCUGGGCCCACAGGCCACGUUGGUUUGAUCCGUCCGCUUUGGGGAUCUUCCAGACCGAGAUCUCUGAGGUACCCACAAAAUUAAGGACCCCAAGAAGCUGGUUUAUUAAACUACCGUGAUAGAAUGGGGGAGACUUGUACCUACCUUCAGCAGGGGACGUUCAGGCUUUUGGACCCCAAAUCAACCUUGUUUUGGGUUGAAUGGAAAGGAGGUUCCCAGCCAAGCCAGCGAUGACCUAUUCCAAGAAGUCUCUUCCAACACGGUUAUGUGCUUCCUUUCUGAGCCACUAUAAUACUAAGAAAAAAAUCAUUUUCAUGUUGUGUUUCCAUCAUGGGUUAAUGUCUAUCUCCUUUGCUGGAUUAAGAACUCCUUGAGGGUAGAAUGGAAAUGUACCGAUCAUUCCAGUAGGUAGCCUGUCAUGCAGUGGUGCCCGCUAAGUGGGGGUCAAACAAAGCGGAGGGGCACAUCAUCACCAGGGGGACUGUACCCACUUGUGGCCCUAGGAGGAUGUUAUUUCACUGGAGGACGAGCCUGCCCUGCUGAGCAGGUCACUUCCGCCAGGGAGCCCUUAGUGGCGCCUACCGUCAUUGUCAUCACCACUUAAGACUUAGCUACAGACAGGACACAGGGAUGCCACACUUAACCCUGAGCCUUGCUUCAGCAUAGUGUCCGGCCUUGGAAACCUGGGGGAGUCACCAGGAAGAGGUGACAGCAGGGUGACAUUAAUUGCCACUCAUUGUGCUUAAUCCCCCAGUGAAUCAAAUGUGAGAUAAUGGAGAUGCUGCCGCCAAACCCUUGGCUGAUGGAGAUGGAAUUAGCCUGGUUCAAGUCCAAAUUAUUUGUUGUCUUUGCUGGCAGGAGUGUGAGAAAUGCCGCUGAGUUCCAGAGAUGCCACGGCUGUUGUGUUUACUCUGUUUGAACAGGCGAUUACAGGCGCAACAAUUUGUUUUUCUUCAAAAUAAAUUGUUUUCUGAUCCCUGAGCCUAAUUGCUCACCUCGCUAUCUGUGGCAGAACAGGAUGAGUGUCCCUCAGCAGAGCUCGGUGUCUGUGGGGGUGUCGGGCCAGGUGUGGCCAGUGGGGCAUUCUACCGCCACUGGAAUGUGGCCUCCCCUCCCACUUGCUGACCUCUCCACAUGGGAGAUGGGUGUGGUCUGGUGGGUGUGGUCAAGGCUUGUCCAGGGGGGGCUAAGGGAGCCUGCCUUGGUGGACCCACUUUACUCUCUACUUUGUUCUUCCUCUCAAAUGCAUAAAUGGAAAUCGCCAUUCACAGACAAACCCAAAAUGGAGUCCACACGGAAGGCGGAGAUCUAUUUAGAACAAACUGGUGGGCCGGGAAGGAGCCCGUAAAGCCCUGUAGAUCCUCCAACCUGGGAAGUACCAUCCUAUUUGCUGCUCUCAUUCUAGUCCGUUACCCUUUUCUCCAGGUGACAGCCAGCUUGGAUGGUCCAGUCCUCACUGAUGCUUGAGUCCCCUCUAUACACCCCCUUAAGAGUGGCAUGUAAAUUUCCAGAAGCAGGAUCCCCGGGUCACAGCAUGUCCAUCAUGUCCCACGUCCAGGGGAGGACGCAGGCUCUGGAACCUGACCGCUGAGGACUGACGCCCUCUGCCACCUGCCUGGAGAAUGACCUUGGAGGAUGUGUCAGGACUGUGGUUUCCUCCCUGAGAGAAACUAGAGGAGCAGCCUGGUUACACAGCAACUCCCUCAGACGACCUUUGCAGGGCUGAGGAGUGUCAUCACUAGUUUCUUGGUUGAGCCUCCUCCUGGGUUCUGGACCCCUGAGGUUAGAAGGGAGAAGAAGCAAAGCUGGAGAGCAGACUGGCCCGCACUGCCCAGGCACACAUCGUGUCUCUAAAGAAUGUACAUGGCGGAAAUGAGACCAGCUGUGGAGAACCAAGAUUGAGACCUCCUGCCAGACCGCCGAGAACAAUACUUAUCCACAGAGGUUGAUGAAAUACAGAGAGAACUGUCUUUAGAGACACAGACCAAGUCCUGGAAUACCGAGGAAGCCCGGAGGCAAGAACCCGUGCACACAGAGAGCUGGCCUCCACCCAGUUUGUGCCCAGAGUCCUCAGAGGCUCCUGGGAGGGCACCAGCCCCUGACAGACACUGCCCUGGAGCCACUCGGAGGCCUGGGGCCGAGUGACAUCUUACACCUCCAAGGAAGGCAUCCAAGGUGGGCACCUGUGCAUGGCAUAUUUUCAGGUGUAGGGAGGCAUUCUUCCUUCUCUUUUCUUUUUUGUUCAUUGAACAAAUGAAAGGACUUGGGGGGGGGGUCUCAGAAGUAGUGAUAUCAUUUUCUUCCAUUACAAAAUAAAAGCCUAUGAAUGAACAUCCAUAGACUAGUGAAAAAUAAACACAUUUCACUGGUUACCCAUAAGUCCAUUGUUCUAAAAUAACUAGAAUGCUCACAGAUUUCCUUCUAUUUUACUAUCGUAUUGUUAAAAAAAUGCUUUUGGUUAGACAUAGUUGCUUUAUGCUAUUAUGCAUUCCACUGGGGCCCUGCUUUUUUCCCUUUUAAUACAUUUUUAACAGUUGCGUAAUGUUCCGUCAAGGAAUAGGCCCAAAUUUAUUUAAUCAAAUCACUGUUAGAUAUUUAAAUUGUUUCUAGGUCACAUGGUGGUAAUCAGCUUUCGUUUUCCAUUUUGGAAUUACUUUUCUUUGCACAGAUGCCAAGACGUGGAACAAUUGGGCCAAAGGGUUGAAUCAUUUUAUGCUUGUGAGCCAUUUUUCCAUAUUCCUCGAAUUCUUUUCUCAGAGGGUUUUUGCCUGUUUAUGUUCUCACCACCCCUGGCACACUCUUUAGCCCUGGGAUCCUGGGAUUUGUUAUUUAAAAGUGAUCAUUAAAUAGUGACAGAGGAGGUCUCACGACUGCUCUAUUUCUUUUCUCCCUUCCCCCCUUUCUUCCUUUUGAUUUCUAGUGAGUUGGAAGUUUUCCGCCUGUUAGCAACAGCUGACCACAGGCCCCCUGAUGCCCUAAACUAGGCUUCCAGAAGUUUCCAGUGUCCAGGAGGCCCCCCUCUGACGGCCCUAGAAUAUGGGUGCCAGGCUUGCAGGAGACCCAGAGACCCCAAGGGCCUCUUCGUGUCUGAGAAAGUAACUCAUAGUUUUCACAUCUGGAAAUGGUGGGUGUUACUCCCUAAGGGCCUUGUCAGCUCUUGUGUCCUAAACGCCUGCUCCUGCGAUGACCUGGGCCUGGUGGGUGGGGUUCCUGGGUGUCUCCUCUUGGGCACGUUUUGGACUCUCUGUUCUCACUGUACCUUUUGUUGCCCUGACCAUCUUCCAGACUCAGAGGACGGAAAGCUGCCUGUGUGCCACGAUCCCCCAGGGAGCCACCCCAGAUUUGGCCCCUUGUUACGUACUGCGACAGCAGACAUUCCUAAACCUGUAUCCGCCGGCCUGUUGUGGGCUGUCAUGAUGUGUCAGCUUUACCUGGGUGACAAAGCUCUCAUUUACCUGGUCACAGGGCUGGGCUCAUGCCCUUCUAGCCAUCAGCUUUCUUUCCUGGAAAUUAGAGGAAUACCCUAUGUCUAACCCCUCAACGAGCUAGGUGUGCACCUGGCCAAGGGCCUUACCACGUGGAGGGGCCCCAGGAGGGGAGGAAACCGACCCUGAAGAAGAGUGGAGAAUGGCCAAGACCAUGGCAUUGGGCCCGCGCUCUGAGGCCCUGCAGGUCUGAUUGCUACAGUUCUCUCUUUAAUCCUGUGACCCACUCCCCAUCCUAAUAUCCUGUCGGCCAGGUGAACUGGUAAGUCCCCUUUUGUGAAUUAAGCUAGUUUGACGUACACUCCUUGAGCUGCUCAUAAAUCACCCCACUAACACACUUCCCGAGAACGCUUUUCCUCUUUAUUCCUACUUGAGGUCCUCCCAGAUUUAUCCUUUCUUAUUUUGUUUGUACGUACGUGUUUCUUUUGAAAUGUUUUAGAUUCAAAGAAGGCUGCCAAAACAGAGGUCCACUUACCCUUCACUGAAACUCUCCAUGGUGACGUGUGACGUAACUGUAGUUCAGUGUCAAAGCCGGCCAACUGACGUCAGUAUAAUCCACCACUCCUUUUUUAUUUUUUGGGAGAACACCUAGCCGUGCUUACAGGUACAAGAAGCUAACUGCUGCACUCAGGACAUUUACAGCCAGAUGAGGAGCAGCACAGGUAUGACGUCUCACACCUGGGCAGGUACAGUGUGCUCCCCUCACCGUGCACUCGCUACGUCCCAGUAAACCAGGCACUUGGCGUUUAACUCCUCAAGCCUCAUGACAGCACUCGUAACACCAUCGUUCUUACAUGAUCGUUCCUUUUACAGAGAGAAGGAAACAGCGGCUCAGAGAAGUUAAGCAGCUUGCUGAAGGUCACAAAGUUGGUAGGGAGCGGAGCUGGAGUUUGAACCCACGAAGCCUGUUUUCAGGGUGCUCAGCCCAGCACUGUGCCAUUGAUGGGAUUACGUGCAAGGGGAGGCUUCGUUUCCUGGGCCUUUCUGGACCUUCUCUAACGCCCCACUCCUCUUUCUUUCUCGUGCCCGCUUGGGUCCCCGGGCUUAGCCGCUUUAACAGCUCUAUUUAUGGCCCUCCCAGGCUGUGCUCUAACGGGGAGGCGUUCCCUAGGUGCAGCCCCCAGAAGACACCACUUCCCUCUAUGCAGCAGGCAGUGCCAGGACAACACCAUUUUCAAAGAUUGUUGGUUUUGGAGGGCCAGGUCCUAGCCUCACUCCCCAGGGAUCGUUUGUGGGUGGUUUAGUGCUGGAAACCAACAAACAGAUAAACCAAAAACUGCCCAAAACAAAACAAAACAAAACAAAACAAAAAAUCCAAAAACCAAAUGCCGGAGGAAGAAAGCCUUGCGCAGCAGAGGGACACAUUUACUUGUCAGCUCAUGGCUUUAGCUCUCAGCCUCGGGUGGUGAACGUGGUGGAGGUGGGAGCUGGUUGUCAC